AUGGCACAGUACGACGGCAAGCUGUACCAGCCUCGCCGGGGCCCCGAGCACCCCCUGCAGCCGGCGGAGGACCCGGAGGCGCACGCCGCGGAUGCUGUGAUUAACCACCUUGCUGUCACGGCGGCGGAGGUGGAGGUGGAGGCUAUGAUCGCGCACAAGGAGGAGCAUCAGCAGGAGGUGGAGGAGGGCGAGGGGGAUGGGCAGCAUGGGCAUGGGGAGCACGGCGGCAAGGUGGAGGUCGUCCAGAUGGAUGCCGGCCGCGGUGGCUGCUGCUGCUAUGGCAGCGGCAGUUGUGGCGGCCACACAGUUGGACCUACACAGGGCAAUGGAUGCAGCGCAAUAGAGACCAAUUUACAUCUUCAAGACCAAGACCUGAUGAAGCAACAUCAGAACUUGGCAACUCCAUAUGCCUCCCCAAAUAGGGAAUCAGUGGAGGGUCGACUCCGUCGGGUUGAGUAUAUUUUUCGUCCUCGAACUCUUCCGAAAGUUAAGAAAUCAUCCCUCAACUUCAAAACCACCAAAAGUCAGUCCCUCAACUAUGUAAACCGGAUACUUUUCGUCCCUAAUAACGUUUAA
rnacentral:rRNA from 1 species